CAAAUUUCCCUCAUCCAUUUCCACCUCUUUCUUCACCAUUUCUGCACCAAAUUUCAUAGGGACUUCAAAGGGAAGAAGGCUGGGAAAGAAAGAAGAAGAAGUUCAACAAGUGUUUGUCGAAGAAGACAAGGAUUUUUGCAAGAUCAACUUCUCUAUAGUUCACUAAGCACAUCUCUGGUUUUUUAUUGAUUCCGAGCUACACAAAUAGAAUCAAGAGGGCAGAUUAUUUUCACGCGAAAUCAGAAGAUCCCUGAGUUUUUUAGUAUUUCAUAGUGUACUGGUGGAGUUAGGAUCUCUAUUUGGGACAAGUUAAAGGGGUCGUGGUGUACAUAAUUGUGGAGUGGUUCUAUUUCGAGGGAUAUCUAAGAUUAUACACAGGGAAUCAGAAUUUCAUGUCUUCCGGUCAAGAGGAAAUAGGUCAGAUUUACACAUCGGCAAACUAGUCUUAGACUGUGUUGAGCCCGAGGCUAUAUGGUACCGUGUGCACACAGGUUAGAUUCCGUUGUUGACGAUGAGUGUACUCCAUAAUAACGAUGUUGUUGUGAGUGCUGGAAGGGUCCCACUACCACAAAGACGAUGGGAGUGUUGGGCAGGCCUCACUACAUCGUAGAGCUUGUAAACGUUUGUUGUACUGGGUGUGCCCUACACAACGUAGAUUUGUCAUGUUAGUUAAAAUAUUUUAAUAUACUUGAUAUGCCUUGCUAGAUUUCAAUGAUGUAUAUACUGAGUAUUUAA